ACCCACUCUGAUUUGCUGAGACCGCACGUCAUCAUAAACUCCACUCUGAUAUGCCGAGGCAAAACACGCUCAACAUUUUUUGGCUGCUGCAGUAGCUCAGCUCAGCUCGUUCAGUUCAGCUCGCUCAGCUCAGCUCCGCUCCGGACCGGACUCAGCUGCCACUAGGCUAUAAGAUGGAGUCAUGAAAUGUGACGGGACAGCCACCGAGGACUUCAUACGGAUGUGUACUUCGGAGCAUCUCAAACAUGCACCACAAAGACGUGGAGGACACACCGCUGUCUCUCAGGACCUAGAAUCUUAAUGAAAGUAUAAUGAUGUUAAGGGAAGGUGUAAUGGAAAGGUGUAAUAGUGUUAAGGGAAGGUAUAAUAUUGUUAAGGGAAGGUGUAAUCUUAAAGGUGUAAUAGUUUUGAGGGAAGGUGUAAUAGUGUUGAGGGAAGGUGUAUUGUUAAAGGUGUAAUAGUGUUGAGGGAAGGUGUAAUGUAAAGGUGUAAUAGUGUUGAGGGAAGGUGUAAUGUUAAAGGUGUAAUAGUGUUGAGGGAAGGUAUAAUAUUGUUAAGGGAAGGUGUAAUGUUAAAGGUGUAAUAGUGUUGAGGGAAGGUGCAAUGUAAAGGUGUAAUAGUGUUGAGGGAAGGUAUAAUAUUGUUAAGGGAAGGUGUAAUGUUAAAGGUGUAAUAGUGUUGAGGGAAGGUGUAAUGUUAAAGGUGUAAUAGUGUUGAGGGAAGGUAUAAUAUUGUUAAGGGAAGGUGUAAUGUUAAAGGUGUAAUAGUGUUGAUGGAAGGUAUAAUGUAAAGGUGUAAUAGUGUUGAUGGAAGGUAUAAUGUAAAGGUGUAAUAGUUUAAAGGGAAGGUAUAAUAUUGUUAAGGGAAGGUGUAAUGUUAAAGGUGUAAUAGUGUUGAUGGAAGGUAUAAUGUAAAGGUGUAAUAGUUUAAAGGGAAGGUAUAAUAUUGUUAAGGGAAGGUAUAAUGUUAAAGGUGUAAUAGUUUUGAGGGAAGGUGUAAUAGUGUUGAGGGAAGGUGUAAUGUUAAAGGUGUAAUAGUGUUGAGGGAAGGUAUAAUAUUGUUAAGGGAAGGUGUAAUGUUAAAGGUGUAAUAGUGUUGAUGGAAGGUGUAAUGUAAAGGUGUAAUAGUGUUAAGGGAAGGUAUAAUAUUGUUAAGGGAAGGUGUAAUGUUAAAGGUGUAAUAGUUUUGAGGGAAGGUGUAAUAGUGUUGAUGGAAGGUAUAAUGUAAAGGUGUAAUAGUUUAAAGGGAAGGUAUAAUAUUGUUAAGGGAAGGUGUAAUGUUAAAGGUGUAAUAGUGUUGAUGGAAGGUAUAAUGUAAAGGUGUAAUAGUUUAAAGGGAAGGUAUAAUAUUGUUAAGGGAAGGUGUAAUGGUGUAAUAGUUUUGAGGGAAGGUGUAAUAGUGUUGAGGGAAGGUAUAAUAUUGUUAUGGGAAGGUGUAAUGUAAAGCUGUAAUAGUUUUAAGGGAAGGUAAAUGUUUAGUGAAAUUGUUAUGGUGUGAAUCUAAGGUGUAUGUUAUGUUGAUGUAAAAUAAAGGCAUUAACCCCAAA